AUAGUACCGUGAGGGAAAGGUGAAAAGAACCCCGGGAGGGGAGUGAAAUAGAACCUGAAAUCGUGUGCUUACAAGCGGUCAGAGCCCUUCGGGGUGAUGGCGUGCCUUUUGGAGAAUGAUCCUGCGAGUUACGUUCAGUGGCGAGGUUAAGUAUACCGGAGCCGCAGGGAAACCGAGUCUUAAUAGGGCGCAUAGUCGCUGGGCGUAGACGCGAAACUUGGUGAUCUAAUCCUGUCCAGGGUGAAGCUGUGGUAAGACACAGUGGAGGCCCGAACUCACCGCCGUUGAAAAGUUGGGAGAUGAGAUAGGUUUAGGGGUGAAACGCCAAUCGAACUAAGAGAUAGCUCGUUCUCUCCGAAAUGCAUUUAGGUGCAGCCUUAGGAGAUAAAUUACGGGGGUAGAGCACUGAAUGGUCUAGGGGGCAUAUUGCUUACUGAAACCAACCAAACUCCGAAUACCGUAAUUCCCAUCCUAGGAGUGAGACUAUGGGUACUAAGAUCCAUGGUCAAAAGGGAAACAACCCAGACCGUCAGCUAAGGUCCCUAAUUAUAGCUAAGUGGGAAAGGAGGUGGAGAUUCACAAACAACCAGGAGGUUGGCUUAGAAGCAGCCAUACCUUUAAAGAGUGCGUAAUAGCUCACUGGUCGAGAGUCUCUGCGCCGACAAUGUAACGGGGCUAAGCUAUAAACCGAAGCUACGGAAUUAUGCGUAUGCAUAAUUGGUAGGAGAGCGUUCUGUAGGCUGUUGAAGGAGGACUGAUAAGGAACUCUGGAGGUAUCAGAAGUGAGAAUGCAGGAAUAAGUAGCGAGAAAGAGGGUGAGAAUCCUUCUCGCCGGAAGACCAAGGUUUCCAGGGUAAAGCUUGUCUUCCCUGGGUAAGCCGGGACCUAAGCUGAGGCUAUAAUGCGUAGGCGAAUGGAAAACAGAUUAAUAUUUCUGUGCCACUUAUAUAUUGUGAAGGAGGGACGCAGAAGGGUAUGUAAGCAGGAGAACGGAAGUUCCUGUGUAAGCAUGUAGAGUGAAACGGCAGGCAAAUCCGCUGUUUUAGACUUGAGGUGUGAUGCGUAGCCCAUUAGGGCGAAUUUACAGAUCCCACGCUGCCAAGAAAAGCUUCUAGCGUUAAUAUAUAAGUGCCCGUACUGUAAACCGACACAGGUGGUCAGAAUGAGAAAUUUAAGGCGGACAGGCUAACUCUCGCUAAGGAACUCUGCAAAAUGAAUCCGUAACUUCGGGAGAAGGAUUGCCCCUUUGUGUAGAGAGCUGUGCGCUCAAAGCAUGAGGGGGUCGCAGUGAAGAGGCUCAGGCAACUGUUUAACAAAAACAUAGGUCUAUGCUAAGCUGUAAGGCGAUGUAUAUGGGCUGACACCUGCCCAGUGCCGGAAGGUUAAGAGGAGGAGUGAGAGCUCCGAAUUGAAGCCCCGGUGAACGGCGGCCGUAACUAUAACGGUCCUAAGGUAGCGAAAUUCCUUGUCGGGUAAG
rnacentral:rRNA from 1 species